UUUGUCUCAGGCUCUGCUUUAUCCAGGGGUGUGUUUUGCCAAGAUGCACACAAGAGUGAGAUUGCCCAUCGGUUUAAUGAUUUGGGAGAACAACAUUUCAAAGGCCUAGUCCUGGUCACCCUUGCCCAGCAUCUUUAGAAAUGCCCAUAUGAAGAACAUGUGAAAUUAGUGAAUGAAAUAACCAAAUUUGCAAAAAUAUGUGUUGCUGAUGAGUCUGCUGCAAACUCUGACAAAUCAAUUGUCAGUACAUUCUGAUUUUGAGGAUCCCUUUGCCUCUUUUACAUAAUUCUGAGUAUUUCAAAGGAAAACAAAUACUUUCUCCCAUACCUAAGGCCCAGGAAACACUGUGGAAGAGGGGCCAGAAUGAUUGUUAGAGCCAGAGGAACAGGGAUUUUGCUAUGAGAUUGUCUCCUAGUAAUGUCACAAGCUAGACUCAAAAAGUCUCACCAACAUGACUGGCCAAAUGUGAGCUUAAGAGUGACAACACAACAGACAUGCCAGGGUGGAUGAAAGACCCCAAGGCCUAAACCUACACAAAGACUUCAGGCAAACAAGG